rnacentral:rRNA from 1 species
AUUGAACGCUGGCGGCAGGCCUAACACAUGCAAGUCGAGCGAGCGGCGGACGGGUGAGUAAUGUAUGGUGACUGCCAGAUAGAGGGGGCUAACUACUGGAAACGGUAGCUAAUACCGCAUACUAUCGGAUAACCCAUAUGGGAUUGGCUAGUAGGUGAGGUAAUGGCUCACCUAGGCGACGAUACCUAGCUGGUCUGAGAGGAUGAUCAUCCACACUGGGACUGAGACACGGCCCAGACGCCUACGGAGGCAGCAGUGGGGAAUAUUGGACAAUGGGCGAAAGCCUGAUGCAGCCAUGCCGCGUGUAUGAAGAAGGCCCUAGGGUUGUAAAGUACUUUCAGUCGGGAGGCGUUACCGACAGAAGAAGCACCGGCUAACUCCGUGCCAGCCGCCGCGGUAAUAC